UACGGAGGUGGCAAGCGUUGUUCGGAAUUACUGGGCGUAAAGGGCGCGUAGGCGGCUAGGCAAGUCAGGUGUGAAAGCCCCGAGCUUAACUCGGGAAUUGCAUCUGAAACUGCUGUGCUUGAGUUCUGGAGGGGGUAGUGGAAUUCCCAGUGUAGCGGUGAAAUGCGUAGAUAUUGGGAGGAACACCUGCGGCGAAGGCGGCUACCUGGACAGAAACUGACGCUGAGGCGCGAAAGCUAGGGGAGCGAACGGG
rnacentral:rRNA from 1 species